AAACCUGGAGUUGCAAACUAAAUAUUGUUGGCUCUGUGACAGAUUGCUUGUUUCUUUCCUAGAUUCUUCAGUGGUGAUGGCCUGCUGCACCCAGCGGAGUUGGAGUGAACCUACUGUCAGACAGUGGCGUACCGUGGGGUUUCAGUCAGGGCCUUCAAUUCUUCAGUGCUGAUGGCCUGCUGCACCCAGCAGAGUCAGUGUGAACUCCUGUAAGACAACAUCACCAAGAUGCUAUAAACCGCAGGAUUAGAUGCCCAUCCCGAGGUUACUAGAGAUGAAGCCAGCUCCAGUUUGGAUCCAAACUCACUUGUGAAGAUGCCAACGCUCACAAAGACUACAGAUGACGGCAACUGUACAUGGACACACAAAACACUGGACACACAAAACAAAUAUUAUCCUUAUAUUGCCUAUAAGGGUAAGUUUGACGAUUUUCAACCCGCUAUUGUAUUAUUGCAACGUCUGUAAUAUCUGUAAAUGAACAAUAUUUACUCUUUCUCUGAGUUAUAUGGACCCUAUUUGUCCCCUUUUAUUUGUA